CCUCUUCCUUCUUUAACCCGGUGUCUGAGGAGUUUUGUCUGUGGCUCAUCCUGCUACAUUUCUUGGUUCCCUGACCGGGAAGUGAAGCAGCCCCUUAGGUGGCUUAGGCUUGCCCUGUGGAGCAUCCCUGCAGGGGACUCUGGCCAGCUUGAGCUACGUGGAUCCUGAGCAUGCUCCUGGGUAGGCAUUUGCCCCGGUGGAAUGCCUUGUCAGAGCAGUGCAUGGCAGGCCCCAGCAGAGGAUCAAUGCAGUGGCUGAGCACCGGGAGGGAACUGGCGCUUGGAGUCCGUAUAUCUGGAACAUGGACUGAGCUCUGGGAUAAGAACAAAUGAGGAAGAGACAGUCACUGCCCUGGCAGCAAACACCCAUGGCCAGGGUUCCUCUAUCCAUCUGUGGGAAGACCCCAAGUUUGAUACUGAAGAUGUUAAACCAUCUCCAAAGUAAGUGGAAACUGAGGUGUUGCGGAUUCGAUGACCUGGACCCUAGGGUCAGUCCCCACCCCUUUGCUGAGCUCACCCUGCACUGGAACUCGUGUCCCUCCCCACUUCCCCUGCUACUCGGGAGCGCUGCCACUGCCCUGGCCAAGAACUGGGGCGUACGUCUAGUUGAAACAUAUUUCUGGGCCAGACAACCAUUGGCCAACAGUGUCUACUGAAGGACCGUUCCCCAGGUGACUUCCAGAAGAGGUGAAAAAUGAAAACUUAUCUGUCACAGCCCCAGGAAGAUCAGGUCUGGGACCUCUCUGUGUCUGGCCUGACCCUGAAGUCCAUCCCUACUGACUCGUGUCCUGUCUGCUCUGUGUCAGAAAAGUGGGGACCUGAUUCCUGUUCUGCCCCUCUCACCAAUUUCUGCUGGUGUCAUUGCCAUCAUCACACAAAGAGAUGGGGAAGACAUGGUACAAUAAGGAAGCUGCUUUCUCGAAGCACUUAGGAUGAUGUUCACAGCAUACUCUCGGCAGACAGGAAGGCCAGGUCCUGCUCACUCCGACUCAGAAGGGGUCUCAUAUCCUGCCUGGGCCCCGGUGAUGAUGUUGAACUGAUGCCCCUAACCUUGCAACCUUGAGCUUCUCUUCCAACAAUGUCCCAAUAUCCUCAUUUUUUUUCCUUCUGAUCCUCUAAAUCAUGUUCCCCUUCAGGUCUAGCAUGAGGCUCUCUCUCGCUCUCUCCCAUGGAGCCCACUGGGCAGCUGUCCAUGAAUUCUAAGAACCUCAAUGUUGGUAACACUGAUAUUUUCCUUGAAUCAUACAUAGCAGGGCCCCUGAAGCACCAUGGGGAAUCUAUUCUCUAGAGAUGAAAGAUGUCUAGGGCAAUCUGGUCAUGAGAAAAUCACUUCUCGGGUGAACAAGUGACAUUGCCAAAUCAAACAGUUUCAUUGUUCUGUUUUGUUCAUGGAAAGAUACUGACACAUACAGGACAAUCAAAUUCUACUGAAAAGCAAUGUAUUUCCAUAGAAUGCCUGCUCCAAAAGAAACCUCAAAUCAUCAUGUGGUCCACUUUAUUCACAUUCAUCAUGACUUAAAGCAACUACCUUGGCUUUCUGCGCGUGAAGGUUUUCAGAAGCAAACAAAAACCUAUUUCAACAGUAGCAUCAACAGGGCAUGAUGGAGAUUCUCCUGUCCCAGUGUUGAGUUUGUCUUCCCCAACCUUGUGAAGCUUGACCUACCCUUUAUCCUCCUAGGAAGGAAGCCAAGAGCUCAGCCUGAUGCUCAGUCCCUCAAGCAAACCUGUUGUACCCUUUGCAUUUUACAGGAUUUCCUGAGCAGAGCACACAGAAACUAUGACUAGGCUAAGUGAAGAGAGACUGAGUUUCCACAUAAACAUGGCAUUUCCUAUCUCUAGUAACAUUAUCUGAAGAUAUCUAACAUUUGUUAGAUGUCAUUAGCUUUUUCCUUCCCAGCUUCCUACCACAACUGAGUGUCACAUGUGGCUGGGCCAGGGUCUAACUUCAGAGGAACAAGCCCUGCCCCACUCUCUAUGCUAAAGAUGGCUUGUGGAGGAUGAACUCUGAGGCCUUUCCUAGAAAAGGUGGGUGAAGGAGAGAGGUGGCAGGAGUAAAGUAUACAGAUGAGUCAAAUGCUGUGAGGAAUAGAAAGGCUAAGCAAGAGGUGACAUUUCUUAUUUAUGUCUUAAAUGAAGUUGUUACUGUGUCUUUUUGUAUUAACCUAUUCUUUAGGUGACUAUUUCACAUUGACUAUGUUCCCCUAGUUGGAAAGCCAAGGCUCGGUCAUCAUUUCUUUCCACCCCUCUCUGCCUUCCUUCCUUCACCACCAAGGAGGAUGGCUCAGCAGCAGCUCAGUCCCUGCUUGUCAACCACCGACCUCCAUACACUCCAGCCCCGGUCCACAUCCCCCAAGGCUCCUCGUGGGAUUCCUAAGCAGCACCAGUGCACUGACUGUCACUCUACUCAUUUAUUGAAAGAACAGUAGGCAAAAUAAUUGUAUUAUAUCUUUACUAAUCCUUUGUUACAAAGACAAGUAAAUAAAAAAAGCCCUUAAAAUGCUGCAUUUCCCUAUUAUUUAGAGAUAGUGAGUGCUAACCCUGUGAUAGUUCUCUUUCUGGUCUUCCCUUUCUUUACACUGUCUGUGCGUCCAUUGAGUCGGUGGCUGUUCAUGUUCCCACCAGCCCCCGGCAGUGAAACGUCCAUCAUGGGGGUCAGCACAUGGUGAGUGCUGAGCCUCACUACUCUAGCUAUGCAGGAGGUCUCCAGUGAGGGUGAUGGGUGCCAGGCUAACAACAAUGUUGUCCUCUGCAUUCUGAUGUGGCACUGGCCCUUGUCUGUCUCCUAUAGAUUGGAGCAUUUCUGAGGCUUGAGGUGGUCAUGUUAUUAAAUACAAUACAAUUAUCUUCCUGAUUUUCCCCUGCUUUGACCAAGUGCUGAGGAAUGACCCCAGCUCUAACAGAUGCUGAUGUGUACUGUUCUAUGUGGUAUCUUACCCUUCUCCGAAUCUGUGAGCUGACCAAAAGCCUGUGGGCUUUCUAUGUGUGUUUCACAGUAAUGCCCAUGUUAACGCCUGCUGUUCCAGUAUCUUUUGCUACCCUGGGUUAUGUGACCACUGAGGCCCCCUUGGAUGAUGGGCAAUGUUUGGCAUGCUUUAUAGGCCAUUACAGUUUCAAGUAUACACAUAAGUGCUGGAACUCCCUGGUGUGGGGACACCUUAUCUCAUGCCAGAGUGACACAGUUGAGUAACACAGAGCAUCAACAUUGGGACCCAUUUCUGGGUUCAUGUUUGCCUCUUCCAUUCAGGAGGUUAAAAUCUGGGUUCAUUCUUUUCUGUACCCUCUCCAUCCCACAAUAUCUAAGUAGGAUAUUCAACUGGCCUUCCAGUACAGCUGUGAUGAGGGAGGAAAGAGGUGAUUUAUGUGAAGUGUAUGGUGGUGGUGGGAUUUUUUCUUCCUUUCUAUUAGACGAAUGACAUGACUCGGGAGGCCGAGGUGAGAAGAUCACUAUAGGCCAGGAAUUCAAAAACAGUCACACUUGUACUGUGUUGUGCAUGUGGGUCCACAUUUUCUGGGGGAAACACACAUUGACAAACACACUCAUAAUCACUACAUAUUAACUCACUACUAGUUACCUCCCAGCCCUUUUGCACACAAACCCACACCAUCUAAAUGAUAUGGCUGUUUCCAGGGACCCUAGCAGAUGAUCACAGUUCUUCAGUGAGCCAUCUGUUUCUCACAACGUACCCCAGGUCCUCACACCUAUCAGGAACCUGAAGCCAGGGAGGUUCUCCAGACAAAAGCAGGCAAGAGAAUCUUCCCUGACUCAUCACUUAGAUUUGUCAUUAGGAAGGGAGCAGUAUUAGAAUAUGUACAAUGUUAGAGAGGGGAGCAAUACACAGUGGGGCUCUCGGGGGCUGAAGCAGGAGGGAGGGCAUCGGGAUAAGUAGCUAAUGUAUGCAGGGCUUAAUAGCUAGGUGAUGGGUUGACAGGUGCAGCAAACCACCAUGCCACACUUUUACCUAUGUAACAAACCUGCACAUCCUGCGCAUGUAUCUCUGAACUUAAAGUAGAAAUUAAAUUUAAAAAAAAGGAAAUUGCCAGAGUAGGCAAAUCUAGAAAAACAGGAAGUAGAUGAGUGGCUGCCUAGGGCCAGGGAUAUGCGGGUUGGGGAAAAGAGAGAAGUGACUACUAAUGGCUGUGGGGUUUCUUUGAAGGGGGAAUGAAAAGAUUCUAAAAUUAGAUUCUAACAAUGAUUGCACAACCUUGUAAAUGUGAAAACACUGAAUCACCCACAUUAAAUAGGUAAAUUGUUUUGCAUGUCAACUAUGUCUCAAUAAAGCUGUUUUUUAAAAAAUAUACUUACCUGGCCAGGCAGAGUGGCUCACAACUGUAAUGCCAGCACUUUUGGAGGCUGAGGCGGGCAAUCACAAGGUCAGGAGAUCGUGACCAUCCUGGCUAACAUGAUGAAACCCCAUCUCUACUAAAAAAAUAAAUAAUACAAAAAACUAGCCAGGCGUGGUGGCGGGUGCCUGUGGUCCCAGCUACUCGGGAGGCUGAGGCAGGAGAAUGGCGUGAACCCGGGAGGCAGAGCUUGCAGUUGCGCCGCUGCACUCCAGCCUAGGGGACAGAAUGAGACUCCGC
rnacentral:lncRNA from 10 species